AAGCAUGAUGGUUGAGACGCGCUGGAUUGCAUCAUCAUUUUUAGCCGAGAAUUUCGCCGUGUUUUCGGUUGCUUUUCGACAAAUAGACAACAUCAACGGGUUUUUGGAUGGAUUGUCGAUGUUCCUGAUGUUCCGAAAGGCUAGCACCGCGUCCCGCCCUGAUUGAUUAUUUUGAUGUCCUCUGGUUGGGAACUUGGGAAUAGCUGCCUAAACGCGAUGGCCAUCCGGAUGACAAGCCUGGACAAGUUAACAAAACUCCGGCCGCAGUAUCCGCAGGGUUUGUCUGCUGUUUUGUUUGCAUUUUCGGCUGACGUGAAAUUGAUGGGACCAUAUGGACCCCAAAGAUGUAAAGCAACGGCCAUGUUUGACAGGAUAAGUGCUGGACGCUGGACGACAUGAGUAGGGAUAUUGAGUGCUUUUCUUUGUAUGUUUUAUGGCGUUUUUUGUGUGUUGAAAUCUUUAAAAUUAAUAUUAACAAGGCUCUAAUUUUCUGCUCAAAUACGUAAAUUCACUUAACAAAUGUUCGCAACAACUGAAUUUAAUUCCAAUAACUAUGUUUUGAUUUUGUGUUUGCGGCAUAUUUUUAUUUUAGGUUUGCAUUCUCUAGAUGAAUAUUUCUAGAUUUCCCUGACAACUAAUUGUAGACACAACUAAUUUUUAAAUUAAUUUCUCUGAUAGUGAUCUCAUAAGUUUAUAAAUAUCAAUUGCAAAAGCCUUAAAUGUUUCAAUUCAAUAACAAUAGAUGGUGCCACUGGUAUACUUCUGAUUUUAAUUCCCUCUCAUUGUGUUUUUUUUAUUAAAGUUAAUACUGCUGCUGUGCCUUCUGGACUUAUACUAUUAAUUUUAAUGUGCUCAAAACCAAAAUCAGUUACGCCGCAAUCACCCUAGAAACAUCAGCACAUUGAAAAAAAUGUAAUUACACUUCGACGAUGAUUGGCUUAUAUGUUUUGGUUUCCAGCACAUCAGAUAUAAUUAUUUAAAGGGUUGAAUGUUGAAUGCACAGCAGCAGGACCGUGUCCUCUAUCUCAGUGAAAUCUUAUUAAAAUCAAAAGAAUACCAAUUAAUGGCAGCCAAGGGGGAAUUCCCAACUGCAGGUUAACUCGUACAAUUAUUAUAAUCAUCCAAUAUUAUUUGUUCUGUUACUGCAUCACCUCAAAAAUCAAUGUUUUUAUGGUUUUAAACGUUUUAACAAUUAAGUCUCAUUAAUUUGUAAGUGUGCAGUUCUCCGCAGUCUAUUGUACGCGAUUUUUUGGUGUUGAAAAAUUGUUGUUAACACUUAAUAAUUUAUUUUUUAAUUGUAACUGCUUAUUCUCUGUUAUUGAAAGGUGGAAUGUAACUUAACUGCAUUAGGUAUAACCUUCGAAUUUUCACUGCCAAACCUAGUUUUCAAUUGUGAACGACUUUUAAUUCGCAGGUCAAAGGUCAUGGUCACCUUUCUUUUUUGAAAAUUCAAUAUUAGGGGAUGAUAGCCCUCUCAGAUUUUUUGGGGUUAGCCCGUGAAAAUCUGCACAAGCACACCCAAGUUUUUGAAGUACCAAAAAUGUUUGCUGUAAUUUGAAAAUGAAAGUUGAAAUACGGCUUGAUGCCGCUCGAUCGAGCAUGCCCGUUAGUCGGCGAGUUUGUCUAUCAUUUGUCAAUAAUAUUUUAAUCCGUUCCAUUUGCUUAGGCACAACAAGAGGACCAAGGAUUGACAUAGUAAGGUCAAAAUUGACCUUCAGGGUCUGAACCUGAUGAGACCCUGAGACCUGAGAUAAUAAUUUCGAAAAUGUCCAAUUUCAUCAAUCAUGGUGUCUUUUUAUAGGUUUUGGCCUCUGUACAGCUAAAAAAUACAGCCUAAACCGCCGAAUGACAAUCCUGAAACCAAUUCUUGAAAUAAUUGUGGUAGCCAUUAAUCCCGACGUGAUGUUAAAAAGUUUUAAAAUUUGAAAUCGGCAGUUUUGACUUUAUAUUUGAGCUGCAGAGCGGUGAUAGCUUAUGGAAAGACACUUAAGUUUGAUGAAAUUGAUUUUUUAAUCUCAGGAUCUCGUCAGGUACAGACCCUGAAGGUUGAUUUUGACCUUGAUAUGUCUACACUGGGCCCUCUUGUUGUGUCUAAUCAAAUGGAAUGGGUAGAAAUAUUAUCAACGAAUGAUGGGCGAACUCGCCGACUAAAGGCCGUGCUCGAUCGAGCGGCAUCGAGCCGGAUUUUAAUUUUCAAAUUCAAAUUACAGCAAAACUACUGUUGCACCUUUGAAACUUGGUGAGCUUGUGUAGAAUUUCAAGGGCUACAUUUCAGCCCUGAACCCCAAAAAGAUCUAAGGGUUGUAUCAUCCCUUGAUUUUGAAUUUUUGAGUAAAGGUUGCAAAAGGUGACCUUGACCUUUUCCCUGCGAAUUUUUUGUAGGUUGAUAAGUUGUUCAUGGUGGAAAACUAGGAUAGAAAAUGAAAAUUUCAAGGUGAUAUCUUAACCCAGUAAAGAGUUACAGUCCACCCUUCAUUCACAUAAUUUGAUUUUCAGGGAUUUUUAAAAAUAGGGAUCUUCAAAUUUGAUGUAUAACAUGUAUUAUUUAAUUGUAAUUUAUUUGUUGUAUGAAUAUCAUCCAAUAAAAGUGCUGCCCAUCUAGCUGCCCACUGAGGGUAACCCCAAGCGGGCACCCAAUGGUUACCUUUUGGCUACCUCUUACCUAGGGCUGUCAUUUUGCGCUACAAAUUUCACUUUUUUAAUGAACAGAGUCAAUCGACCUGCCACCUGAAAGCCCUAGAUAAAAGGUAGCCAAAAGGUAACCAAUGGCUGCCCACUGGUGGUAACCUCAGCCGGGCACCCGAUGGUUAGCUUUUGGUCAA